rnacentral:rRNA from 1 species
CCUACGGGUGACAGCAGUGAGGAAUAUUGGUCAAUGGACGCAAGUCUGAACCAGCCAUGCCGCGUGCAGGAAGACGGCUCUAUGAGUUGUAAACUGCUUUUGUACGAGGGUAAAUCCCGAUACGUGUAUCGUGUUGAAAGUAUCGUACGAGUAAGGAUCGGCGAACUCCGUGCCAGCAGCCGCGGUAAUACGGAGGAUUCGAGCGUUAUCCGGAUUUAUUGGGUUUAAAGGGUGCGUAGGCGGUUCGAUAAGUUAGUGGUGAAAUCCCGGGGCUCAACUCCAGCACUGCCUCUGAUACUGUCAGUCUAGAGUAUAGUAGCGGUAGGCGGAAUGUAUGGUGUAGCGGUGAAAUGCAUAGAGAUCAUACAGAACACCGAUUGCGAAGGCAGCUUACUAGACUACGACUGACGUUGAGGCACGAAAGCGUGGGGAGCAAACAGGAUUAGAUACCCUAGUAGUC